UCGUAGCUGACCAUCUCGCCGCGUGAAUGACGAGGCCUUCGGGUUGUAAAACUCUGUUGUUCGGGAAGAAAAUGACUGAGCCAAACUGCUCGUGCCCUGACCGUUCCUAGCCGGCAAGCCAAACUCUAUUACGUGCCAGCAGCCGCUAUAAUAACAC
rnacentral:rRNA from 1 species